rnacentral:miRNA from 1 species
GGUUCCCAGAUCCACAUAAAGUGGUCUUACAUAUUCCUGUAAGACCAGCACUGAGGAGGUAGAGGCAGGAGGAU